rnacentral:tRNA from 1 species
GGGCCUAUAGUUCAGUGGCUAGAACACCUCAUUUGCAAUGAGGAAGCGGCAGUUCGAUUCUGCCUAGGUCCA